UGGAGAUCGGGUGACCCGAGAAAUAAUGACGGUGCGAACUAUACACGUAUCCAAGAACACCGUCGAUCACGUAAUUAAUGCCGUCUCCCGAGUCAGACCCUGGAGACGGCAUUAAUUACGUGAUCGACGGUGUUCUUGGACAUGUAUAUAGUUCGUCCUCCAGUAGUAUCUUUUUUAUGCAAUACUUUUACAAAUACAUCUGCAUUUAGUUGAAUGAUUCCGCAGCAGUUUUUUGGAUUUUACCACCAACCAUCAAUGAUACUAAAGAAAAUGGUUAUAGGAAAUUUUGCAACAGAAAAGGUUGAUGGAGAGAUGAUAAAGGCAAUCGAUUUUAUGGUGGAACAGCUGAAGAGCUUAACGCAUCCUGAAUUAGCAUUUCGUUUAACAAUGAAUUGCAUAAAUUGUUAUGUACAACCUCAAAAGAUAUGUCAUUUAUAUAACGAUAAUAGAUGUAUUUGAUGAAUAUACUUUAUCAAAUGCUGUUAGGGAAGAAAUAUAUAAAUGUUAUCCGAAUGCAAAAUUAGCACAUUUGAAAAGCAGUGGGAAUUUUCCAUACUUAUUUAUAAAUAU